AUACGUAGGGGGCGAGCGUUGUCCGGAUUUACUGGGCGUAAAGGGUACGCAGGCGGCCAUGUAAGUCAGAUGUGAAAGGCUACAGCUUAACUGUAGCAAGCAUUUGAAACUGUGUGGCUUGAGUUAAGGAGAGGAAAGUGGAAUUCCUGGUGUAGCGGUGAAAUGCGUAGAUAUCAGGAGGAAUACCAGUGGCGAAGGCGACUUUCUGGACUUAUACUGACGCUGAGGUACGAAAGCGCGGGGAGCAAACAGGAUUAGAUACCCUGGUAGUCCGCGCCGUAAACGAUGAGUGCUAGGUGUCGGGGGUCAAACCUCGGUGCCGCAGUUAACACAUUAAGCACACCGCCUGGGGAGUACGUUCGCAAGAAUGAAACUCAAAGGA
rnacentral:rRNA from 1 species